rnacentral:sRNA from 1 species
ACUGCUUUUCUUUGAUGUCCCCAUAUUGAGGAGCCCGAUAGUCAUCAUCCACUUUGGUUAAAGACUAUCGGGUUUUUUAUU